GUUCCUGUAGUAAAGAACACGAAUGGUUUUUCAAGCCGUAGUCCUUGGGGUCUAACCAAGCGGGAAUA
rnacentral:tRNA from 1 species